rnacentral:rRNA from 1 species
UAGUGAGUUUGUAUCCUGGCUCAGGAUGAACGCUGGCGGUCUGCUUAACACAUGCAAGUCGAACGCAAGUAGAAAUACUUGAGUGGCGGACGGGUGAGUAACGCGUGAGAAUCUGUCUUCAGGUCGGGAACAACCACUGGAAACGGUGGCUAAUACCGGAUAUGCCUAUGGGUGAAAGAUUAAUUGCCAGAAGAAGAGCUCGCGUCUGAUUAGCUAGUUGGUGGGUAACGGCCCACCAAGGCGACGAUGCAUAGCCG